rnacentral:rRNA from 1 species
UACGGGGGGGGCAAGCGUUGUUCGGAAUUACUGGGCGUAAAGGGCGCGUAGGCGGUCUACUAAGUUGGAUGUGAAAACUCUGGGCUUAACCCAGAGCCUGCAUUCAAAACUGAUAGGCUGGAGUUCUGGAGGGGAUAGCGGAAUUCCUGGUGUAGCGGUGAAAUGCGUAGAUAUCAGGAGGAACACCGGUGGCGAAGGCGGGUCUCUGGGCCGAUACUGACGCUGAGGAGCGAAAGCGUGGGGAGCAAACAGG